rnacentral:rRNA from 1 species
CCGGCACGGGUGAGUAACACGUAUCCAACCUGCCGUCUACUCUUGGACAGCCUCUGAGGAAGAUUAAUACAAGAUGGCAUCAUGAGUCCGCAUGUUCACAUGAUUAAAGGUAUUCCGGUAGACGAUGGGGAUGCGUUCCAUUAGAUAGUAGGCGGGGUAACGGCCCACCUAGUCUUCGAUGGAUAGGGGUUCUGAGAGGAAGGUCCCCCACAUUGGAACUGAGACACGGUCCAA